rnacentral:lncRNA from 1 species
GCAACCGGCCGGCCCGACUCGGCGCAUUCGUAAACAAACCCUGGUUCAGUUCGGAGCAGCGAACACCCGAAGACCCCCUCACCCUUCACCAUCAGUGUAACACACUUGGGCUUCUUAUUUCAUCGAGACCGCCGGCACGGGAAAAUGUAGGCGAGCGGGCACCAGGUGCGGAGCGCGACAGUUUACCUGCACCCUACGGGGUCGGUGCUUGAACAAUCCGUACGCGAAGACAGGCGUGAAUUAGAGUUCGAAACCUUCACACUUUGAACAAAUAUGAAAAGAGAACUUCGAGAUAUAGUUUAGAGCAGACUCGUAGUUUGAUCCAAAACCGUCGGCAUCAUCUGCCUUCUCUAAUACCGCACACUGAGGCACAGCAUUGGAAACGUUGGAAUCAAAAAGCAAAAAAUUCAAACAUGUAACGUAAGCCACAUCAACUCUAACAAAGACGAGAGAGGGAGAAAGAGCGAGCGAAGGGGCUAGUGGGAGAAAGAGAGAAAGAGAUUCUCUAUUCGCGGUCGAGUCCGCGAAUGAGAGAGCAGGGCGAAUGUUAAUGUGGGUCUCGGCUCGGUCAAGCGUACCUUUUUGGGCGCCGUGACAGUUAGUACACCAUCCGAGGAGAGGGUCGAGGUGACGUUGACGAGAUCGUGAGAAGGUGGCAGGACGUAUCUGCGUACGAAGUGCCUGCUGAUGUAGCCGUGCUCGUCUUGCCUCUCCUCGUGCUUGGCCUCGACAAUAACGUAGUUGUCGACCGUCUUCACCGUGAUCUCGUCCGGUGAGAAUUGUUGUACGUCCAAUAUCACCUGCGGAUCAGAGAGAGCGCGGCCCCGUAAGGAGGCCCCGGGAAUUAUUAGCUUCAUUCAGGAUCCUCUUUCCAAGAGCGUCAUCAAGGACAGAAAUUUCGCAUUCUUCUAAGAGCAAAGCGCACAUCAUCGUCCUGACUAUGCAUCUAUAGAGCGCAAGUUAAGUAUCAUCCCCUCUGAGCGGGUUUACUCCGAAAGUUAUGCUCGAAUUUUGAGCGAUAAGGCCAAUUUGAUUUUGUUCUCGUCUCACAAAUUAGCACUUAUUUUUUGUGUUUCUCCUUUGAAUCACAUUCUUCUUCGGAAGAGGAUCUCGAACGUCAUGCGUCCAUAGCGCGCAUAUAAAUCAUUUAUAUAAUACACACAUAUAAAACAUUAUAAAUCGUAAUUAAAACAGAUCUACUUUGCGCACAAUCGUACCGGCAAACUAUUUGGAGCAGCGCUUCGUUUAAUUUGCAUUCGUUCUUCCGUGAUUAGGGAGUCGCCGGGGCCGAUUCCGCCGGUCAGGCCCGGUUGUUGGAGUUUCUGCGACGAGAAAUAAAAAUGACAAUUCGGCCAACGUUCUAGAUCCGUCUCGACCGUCAAAUAAGCGUGUCGUAGACUCUUCCUACUUUGAAUUUUUCAAUUUUCCACGACCUUUUCAUAUGUAAUCCCGCCGCGUUUCUUUAGAUCACCGCGCGUUAAAGCGCGUUAAAUGGUACAAAAGUAAAUCGGGAAGAUGUAGUUGUCAGGUACACCUACUUGUGUGACAUUGUUCCUUUUUUUUUCGAGAUCAAAAAAACGAGCAUACAUACAAGUAGGUGGUUAUUUGUACUUAUCGUGAGUACCGCACGGUCGUGUCGGGAGCGAUCGGUCGCGACCGCGGUGGCCGAUCCUUUUCGCGGCCGGCGGUUCGCUCCUUGAUGGGAAUGAAAAAAAUUGCAACAUACAAAAAUUUUUAAAAAAUAAUAGCUCAGUUAGAUAACACUCCGGCAUAGAGAGCAAGGAAGCUUCAACGACCGACGGUAAUAAAAUAGGCGAGCCGAGUUUCUCCGGGUGAUCCUGCGUGAUCCUGGAACUCGGUGAGCGCGAGCGCGAAGUAAGUUAGUGGAGGAUGAUUGGCUGUGCAUUUCGAAAAUAGUACCAAAAAAAAAAGAAUAGAAGAGAAGGAGAAAGAAGUUAACCGGAUUAACCGAUCCGUAAACAGUCGACUCGAGUGCUGCGCGCAGAGCGACAUAUUUUGUACAAAUAAAGAAAUAAAAAAGCUAAAAAGAUUCCGUGUAAGAGGAAAAAAACCAAAA